rnacentral:rRNA from 1 species
CAGCCCUAAACGAUGCGCGUUAGGUGUAUCGGUGACCACGAGUCACCGAGGUGCCGAAGGGAAACCGUGAAACGUGCCGCCUGGGAAGUACGGUCGCAAGGCUGAGACUUAAAGGAAUUGGCGGGGGGAGCACCACAACGGGUGGAGCCUGCGGUUUAAUUGGACUCAACGCCGGGAAGCUCACCGGAUAAGACAGCGGAAUGAUUGCCGGGCUGAAGACCCUGCAUGACCAGCUGAGAGGAGGUGCAUGGCGUCAGUGACU